rnacentral:rRNA from 1 species
AACGAACGCUGGCGGCAUGCCUAACACAUGCAAGUCGAACGUGAUCCGGGGCUUCGGCUCCGGUGAAAGUGGCGGACGGGUGAGUAACGCGUGGGAACCUGCCCAGUGGUAGGGGAUAACCGCGGGAAACUGCGGCUAAUACCCUAUGCGCCCUAUGGGGCAAAGAUUUAUCGCCAUUGGAGGGGCCCGCGUCGGAUUAGGUAGUUGGUGAGGUAACGGCUCACCAAGCCUUCGAUCCGUAGCUGGCUGAGAGGAUGAUCAGCCACACUGGGACUGAGACACGGCCCAGACUCCUACGGGAGGCAGCAGGUGGGGAGUAUUGGACAAUGGGGGCAACCCUGAUCCAGCAAUGCCGCGUGAGUGAUGAAGGCCUUAGGGUUGUAAAGCUCUUUUCGGCGGGGAAGAUGAUGACGGUACCCGCAGAAGAAGCCCCGGCUAACUUCGUGCCAGCAGCCGCCGCCGU